rnacentral:rRNA from 1 species
AUGAACGCUGGCGGCGUGCCUAAUACAUGCAAGUCGAGCGAACAGACGAGGAGCUUGCUCCUCUGAUGUUAGCGGCGGACGGGUGAGUAACACGUGGAUAACCUACCUAUAAGACUGGGAUAACUUCGGGAAACCGGAGCUAAUACCGGAUAACAUGUUGAACCGCAUGGUUCAACAGUGAAAGACGGUCUUGCUGUCACUUAUAGAUGGAUCCGCGCCGCAUUAGCUAGUUGGUAAGGUAACGGCUUACCAAGGCAACGAUGCGUAGCCGACCUGAGAGGGUGAUCGGCCACACUGGAACUGAGACACGGUCCAGACUCCUACGGGAGGCAGCAGUAGGGAAUCUUCCGCAAUGGGCGAAAGCCUGACGGAGCAACGCCGCGUGAGUGAAGAAGGUCUUCGGAUCGUAAAACUCUGUUAUUAGGGAAGAACAAAUGUGUAAGUAACUAUGCACGUCUUGACGGUACCUAAUCAGAAAGCCACGGCUAACUACGU